rnacentral:tRNA from 1 species
ACGUCCUUAGUUCAGUUGGUAGAACACUGGUUUUCAAAACCAAUUGCCGUAGGUUCGAGCCCUACAGGACGUG